CCGUUGUGCAUGAAAGGUCUUCGUGAAGCCUAACUCCCUGCCUUCUUCUCAUGAGUUUUCUUCAACUUUUACGCUUCCAACUUUAUAAUUUUUCCAUCCAAUUUGCUCAUCGUGUUCGUUGAUCACUUCUUUAAGCUCAUUUACUUGAAAUUCAUCAAAUCAAGUUAGUUUAAGGCAAUUAAAUUAUCCUUAAGAAAGCAUAAAUAAAGUAUUAGAAAAUGUGCAAAUAGAUUAGCCACCUUAUCACCUCCAUGUCCACAUCUUAGUCUUCUUGUGGUUAAAAGGAGGGUAGAGUUAGGUGGCAGAGAGAGU
rnacentral:lncRNA from 1 species